UGGGGAAUAUUGCACAAUGGGCGCAAGCCUGAUGCAGCAACGCCGCGUGAGGGACGACGGCCUUCGGGUUGUAAACCUCUUUUAGUAGGGAAGAAGCGAAAGUGACGGUACCUGCAGAAAAAGCACCGGCUAACUACGUGCCAGCAGCCGCGGUAAUACGUAGGGUGCGAGCGUUGUCCGGAAUUAUUGGGCGUAAAGAGCUCGUAGGCGGUCUGUCGCGUCUGCUGUGAAAAACCCGAGGCUCAACCUCGGGCCUGCAGUGGGUACGGGCAGACUAGAGUGCGGUAGGGGAGAAUGGAAUCCCUGGUGUAGCGGUGGAAUGCGCAGAUAUCAGGAGGAACACCGAUGGCGAAGGCAGUUCUCUGGGCCGUAACUGACGCUGAGGAGCGAAAGCGUGGGGAGCGAACAGGAUUAGAUACCCUGGGUAGUCCACGCCGCAAACGUUGGGCGCUAGAUGUGGGGACCAUUCCACGGUUUCCGUGUCGCAGCUAACGCAUUAAGCGCCCCGCCUUGGGGAGUACGGCCGCAA
rnacentral:rRNA from 1 species